GACGAACGCUGGCGGCGUGCUUAACACAUGCAAGUCGAACGGAAAGACCCUGCUUUUGUGGGGUGCCCGAGUGGCGAACGGGUGAGUAACACGUGAGUAACCUGCCCUUGACUUUGGGAUAACUUCAGGAAACUGGGGCUAAUACCGGAUAGGAGCUCCUGCUGCAUGGUGGGGGUUGGAAAGUUUCGGCGGUUGGGGAUGGACUCGCGGCUUAUCAGCUUGUUGGUGGGGUAGUGGCUUACCAAGGCUUUGACGGGUAGCCGGCCUGAGAGGGUGACCGGCCACAUUGGGACUGAGAUACGGCCCAGACUCCUACGGGAGGCAGCAGUGGGGAAUAUUGCACAAUGGGCGGAAGCCUGAUGCAGCAACGCCGCGUGCGGGAUGACGGCCUUCGGGUUGUAAACCGCUUUCGCCUGUGACGAAGCGUGAGUGACGGUAAUGGGUAAAGAAGCACCGGCUAACUACGUG
rnacentral:rRNA from 1 species